rnacentral:rRNA from 1 species
UACGGGGGGUGCGAGCGUUGUCCGGAAUCACUGGGCGUAAAGGGCGCGUAGGUGGCGUCGUAAGUCUGUGGUGAAAGCCCGGAGCUCAACUCCGGGUCUGCCGCGGAUACUGCGAGGCUCGAGUGCUGUAGAGGGGGGUAGAAUGCCGGGUGUAGCGGUGGAAUGCGUAGAGAUCCGGCAGAAGACCGGUGGCGAAGGCGGCCCCCUGGGCAGUAACUGACACUGAGGCGCGACAGCGUGGGGAGCAAACAGG